GUAGCGCGCAAGGGGUUUUGAUGAUAGAGGGUAUCAAUGACCACCAAAAUCUCCAAACACUAUUAGACCAUGAAACUAUUCCAGAACUGACCAAAAGCACCACUGACCAAUUAAUUGAUGAACACCGAAAAAUAAUAUAAUCUAGGUCUGCUGUCUAUAUAAGUCUAUGUUAAUAGAAAUGGAUACGUUUCAAGUUUCAAUACUUUAUUUCAACAUUUUGCUAAGGCAGAAUGUUCAUUCAAAAAUUCAAUAUAUUACUCAAUUUGACAAACAUUAAAAUGCUAGAUUGACUGUACCAGAGCUAUUUCAUGAGCUAUCUUAAAUAAAAUAUUUAGUUUUUCUCCAGAUGCACAGAUACUGAGAUCACAAUACAUAUAUAUACAUGUAAAUAUAUAAGGUACAGUUUGCUAAGGUGUUUGGUCACUAAAAGGGGUAAUUUUUAAUAACAUUCAUACUGGAGACAUUACCAGUAACGUAUAUUUGAAGUCUUUACAAAUAAUGAAAGUCCAAAAUAGAGGACAAGGGUACUAGAAACUUACUAGUAAUGGGUCACAAAAUAACCUAUAAGCAAACUGUACAGGUUAUUAUAACUAUACUUAUAAUAAUAAAGGUGUAUCUGAGUAUUUCCCUAAGUGUUUAGAAUCUAAACACAUACGAUGUAAUGUUUAACCAGUUUACACUGUCAAUCUUCUAUGUAUAGAAAACUUAAAUAAAUAAUAAUCUUUCUGACUCUGAAUCUUUAUUUAUUUGUUCUAAAGUUUAAAUUUUACAGGACUCUGUUAAACAACUUUUCUAAAAGUUUUUAUUACUUUUCUAAAUAAUUGUUCCUUGCCGUGAACGUGAAUUUAAACAUUUUUAUAAUUUCCAAAUAGAAUAUCUAAAUUUAGUAAAGCAUUGUUAUUAAUGCACUUUUCAUUUAAAAGUUCCAAAAAGGAAUAAAAUAACGUUUCCUAUAAGAGAUAAACGUUAACGUUAAAUAUUUUCUAUAUAAAAUAACUGGUCUUACUUUUCUUUGGAAUAAAUUUGACAGAGUCCUUCCUUAUGCCAAAAUGGGAAAAGUGACGUAGAAGUAGCGUUUUCGGGCCCUUUUUAUACUACCCGCGCCGCACAUUUCACCCCUUUUAGGUCAACUGUGCAUUUGCAGAUCGAUAACCAAUCAAAUCAUCUGCACAAGUACACCGUUGACCUUACGAGAGUUCAAAUGUGCGCUAGUGUGCUACAGUGCUACUGACACAGCAGAAUCGAACAUUUGAUUAUUAAAACAUAUUUUAAAAUAAGUUUCACAUAUAUAUUCUUGUAUGUACAUAAAAAUGGUAUAUUGUACAAAGUUAUUUUAAUAAAAGAAUAAAAAUAAAGAAUUUUAGUUUUCCCAGCCAAUCGAAUCGCAGACCGUACUUGUUAACAAUGGCGGAUUGCGAGGAUGGCAGAAGUUGCAGUGACACGAUGUUUGACAGAUUAAGCCGUAAUUUACAACUUCUCACUGAUCUUAUAUGAAUUCUGAAAGUCAAUUCGACUUCAGUAAAAUACUUGUUUCACCCAAGAGAAAAUUUAUAUCAACAAUUGAAAUAAAAAAAAACAGUUAACCAACAAUGGCACCAGGGAAAGGAAAGACCACACUCCAAACAGACCUCAGAGACUCAGACCCCAAAAAUUAAAGUUAGAAAACAAAUUCAAAGUAGCCAAAGGGAGAUAAAUCUCAAAAGGUAUUAAUUUUUAGAAAUUACUGAUCAUUAUCUGUUCAAAAUAUUUCUCAUUAUUAAAAAAUUAUUACUUAUAAAAAAAAACAAUACUUAAUACAUUCUAAUUAAAACAAAAUUUACAAUGAAAGUACCUUUAACAAAAGUUUAAUUCCUCCAGGGUGUCUGCGGUCUCUGGCUCCUGCUGUAUGAAUAUCCGUAAGGUCUUCUUCUUCCAAAUCUGGUACAACUGUCAUCGCUCUUCAA